rnacentral:rRNA from 1 species
AAAGCGCGCGUAGGUGGUUUGUUAAGUUGAAUGUGAAAUCCCCGGGCUCAACCUGGGAACUGCAUCCAAAACUGGCAAGCUAGAGUAGGGCAGAGGGUGGUGGAAUUUCCUGUGUAGCGGUGAAAUGCGUAGAUAUAGGAAGGAACACCAGUGGCGAAGGCGACCACCUGGGCUCAUACUGACACUGAGGUGCGAAAGCGUGGGGAGCAAACAGGAUUAGAUACCCGGGU